CUACGGGAGGCAGCAGUGGGGAAUAUUGCGCAAUGGGGGAAACCCUGACGCAGCAACGCCGCGUGAGUGAAGAAGGCCUUAGGGUUGUAAAGCUCUGUCCUCAAGGAAGAUAAUGACGGUACUUGAGGAGGAAGCCCCGGCUAACUACGUGCCAGCAGCCGCGGUAAUAAUCUCUAGAGG
rnacentral:rRNA from 1 species